GCCGGGCGUCGUGGUGCACGCCUGUAAUCCCAGCUACUCGGGAGGCUGAGGCGGGAGAAUUGCUCGAACCCAGGAGGCAGAGGUUGCAGUGAGCCAAGAUCGCGUCACUGCACUCUAGCCUGGGCGACAGAGUGGGACUCCGUCUCAA
rnacentral:SRP_RNA from 2 species